ensembl:lncRNA
UUCAAGCCCUCAUUAGAUAUGUCAAGCUGAGAAAACAGUGGCAGCCUAAUCUGAGGUCAGACAGCACCCCGUCGCAAAAAAGCCACCACCAUCCUUUUUUUCUCACUGAGCAGUCUACAGCUGACACGAUAGCGGUUUGAUGUAUUGUGUUGUCGUGUGGUGUGUGGUGUUGCAGUGUGGUGUGUUGUGUUGCGGUGUGUUGUGUUGUGUUGUUUAGUGUUGUAUGGUGAUGAGCUGUGUUGUGUCACUUUUCAGUUUGUGCCACCAUUCAGUUUCUUAAUACUCUGUCUGUGGCCGAACAAGGGCUCAGAAUGUCCUCUGAAAGCAUGACAACAUGUCUUCUAGAACACUCCUUCAGGGACUCUUGGAAUUUCAAACAGACCCCCACUCUCCCCUGCCCCCCUCCGCUCAAAAACACACAAACCACUAGACCAAAGGUUCAAGGACAAUUUGAAUUUUUAUUUUAUUUAUUUCCUUAGCAGGGACAGCGCAUAGUAAUGAACAUUGUUGUAAAUAUGCCAGAGCUAGUCAAAAGGGCACAUUUUCAGGCUCCCUAAGAGUAAAAGUUUAAUACAAAGAUUAUAAAAAUAGUUAAAAAAAAGCAUGUAAGUACAGUACAGAGUAUAGAGGCAUAUAGAAAACAGAGCAAGAAAGACACAGAGUAUGUGUGAGCACAUGGAUCACACACAUAAGCCACUGUUUGAAAUGAGAACCGAUCCGUGUUGAGUUCUCUGAUAUGUGUUGGAAAAGAGUUCGAUUCUUGUGACUCUUGCACAAAACACAGACUGACUAAAGGCACUUCACCUACGUUGAAUAAUGCAGUCUCCUCUUGUAACUCCUCUCGUGAUCCGGUCUUGGUUUGUUCAUGUUCUAACUCCGAGUGGUGGAGGAGCCACACCAUGCAUGGUGGUGGUGGAAGUGAUUUGGUUCAUUGGCAAUAGUUUCAAGUGUCUGUGUACACCAAGACUGUAAUGGUUAUAAUAUAGUGUGGUUAAGCCUGUGAUUCGCUCGUCAAAAAGUACAUCUCGGCCUCCUCAGUGUCCAUUGAGUUUCUUAUCGACCUAAAAUACGCUAGAUCCUGUUGGAUCUGUUUGCAGACUUUGUUUUAAACCUGAGCCCUGAGGUUGAGGUUGGAGUCUAUCAGAAUAUCAGAAGGAGGUUUUUAAAUCCUUUUACAAUCUGUGAUGUUUCUCCCAUCACAAAAACAUCUGGGUCUACAGUAUAGUCAUUUGUCUUGGUGAAGAGCAUGGCAAGCUUUUUUUGACCCAUUUACAGUAGUAGCAGACAACACAGAUUGAGCACGGAACCCAAUUAAAAUCCAGUGAAUGCAAGGGACUAAAAGUAUGUUUUCAGUCUAGCUUUAAAAGUCUCUAUGCAGGCAGCAGAUCUGAUGUGUAAUGGGAGACUAUUCCAUAAUUAAGGACCAACAACAGUAAAAGCUCGAUCACCCUUAAAUUUGAAGGUAAAACCGAUAAAAGUUCAUUAGAGGAUCUUAGGACCCUUGGUGGAGCAUAAGGGGUCAGUAGGGUUGAUAUAUAGGCUGGAGCUAGACAUUUCACAGCCUUACAAAUAAACAAUCAAAUGUCUAUGAGCCAUUGUAGUGUAGAGUGGCUAAAACAGGUGUGAUGUGAUGAAACUUCUUGGUCCUUGUUAAAAGUCUUGCUGCCGCAUUUUGGACUACGUGCUGUUAAUGAAAUAAUAUUCUGAAAGAUAUAAAAGCGUAGAAGCGUAAUGUGAUGGGGACAGGACAUGUUGCACUUCAGCUAUUUUCUCAGUGGACGUAAUGAAGGGUUGACCACAAAGGUUGUUUGUCUGUCGGCUUUUGAAUAGUGAAAGUAUAACCUUGACCAUGUCUGAACAAAACUUGCGUUUUAGUGGCGUCAGCAUACAUUUGGACAUUAACCUCAUGACAAACAGAUGGCAGGCAAUAUAUAAACUAAAUAAGAGUUGGCCCAGUAUGCAUCAUUGUGAACCAGUGAACAAGCGAAGGGCAUCUGAUCAUUGAUGCUAAUGUAUUCAAACAGAUUGAGAUCGUUUGGAGAGGAAGGAUUCUACCCAUUUAAAGGAAUCAACAGAAAAGUUAAGGUAGAUAACUUAUAAGAACUCAGAGUAGUGAUUCAGUGGGUGAUUCAGAGUAUUAAAUGCUUUCUCGGGAUGCAUGGGUAAUGUUAGAUUAGAAGUGCUUUUACUGUUCUUCAAAAUCAAUCCAUAUUUCAAGCAUUCAAUCAACCAUGCAUUACUUGAAGAUUACUUCUAUACAUUUUCCUCAGGCACCAGAAUCUAAAAGUGCAUUGCCAGCAAAAUAGACAGAUUUGCUGGAUAUGAAACACCGAGGUAUGUGAAAUUUAGCAUCAACCUAAUCAGAAUAGGUUAGGAUCAGUCAGCUCACUUUUUAAAAUAUGGUGUCAAUUCAUCAUUUCCCUUCUACUUCUGUCAGUAUGCAUGACAAUCUUAUCGCUGGAUUUUUCUCUGGGAUAAGAACGCUUCGUCAUCAAGGUGCUUCACUUACAUUCAAGGAGAACUUAAACCCACUCCAAGGUUCACAAGACAACACACAGGCAGACAUGCACAGAGAGACUGAGACUGUGGUGAGAGUGCAGUGGUGCAGAAGAAGCAAAGAGACUGAGAGGUGAAGGAGAGGGGGAGAUAGAGAAAGAGAAAGAAAGAGAAUAUGGCAAGACUUAAUGUUAGAUUUGAUAAAGGGAUUGACAUAUUUACCAAUGUUUUAAUGAUGUACGCUCUCAUGGGACCUGUUUCCGUCAUCUGGCAGAUAUUCACCAUAUUGACACAUCAUAUCUUCAAUGUACAACAUACAUAUAUGUUUCAUAAUUACUUGAAAGCUACUCUUUGGCUUUAAUCCAUGCUGCUUUGUGUGAUUUUGUUAGACACAGAAGACCACCGCUUGCUAAUAGUUUGUUGCCAUCUUUGUUUCCCCCUUGGAUGGCUGUUCCAUACAAGGUGCGAUCAAAAUGUUAGGAGACUGCACCUAUUAAAAGCAAAAUCUGAUUUAACUUUGGCCUCCACCUUCUCCAAGGUAGUCAUCUUGUGCAGCGAUACAUCACUCCCAGUGCUCCUGCCAUGCUUGGAAAGCUCCCUGGAAGUCCCAUAUCCACCGCCAUCUGCUCUCUGGAUCUCCUCCACUGUGUCCAAACGGCGACCUUUCCGCUUGAACGUCAUCUUUGGGAAGAUGAAUAAGUUGCAGGGAGCUAAAUCUGUCAAGCAGGGGUGGUUUUCCACACACUGUUCCAGCCAAACUGUUUGGGGAAGCGAGGGGGAAGAUCCUUGGCGGUGAUUGACAGAGGAAUCCAUGCAGCAGCAGCAGCAGCAGCAACAGCAACGAGGCACACAGGUGUGUGUCAAAGCCUGCUCUUCAGCGAUAACUGAAAACUGCACAUGGAGAAGUCGGCGAUGCAGACAGCGUGGGAUGAUCAGGGGUCUGCAGAGAAACCAUCUGGGAGGCUGGAGGUAAUGAUAUGGAUUGUUCCUCCUGAAUGAUCGAAGGGGGAGAUUUUUUUGUUUGCAUUCUGUCAUUCUGCUGUGCUCUAUUUCCCUGCUUCGCACAAUGUUUUCCAUUUUCCUCACUUCUGUCUCGGCGUCUCACCCGCUCACACUCACACAUGCACACACACACACACACACACACACAGAGACAAACACAGAAACCACACAUUAUUUCAUCUCUACUGCUGUUUCUAUUUGUCCUCCUAUCUCUAGCUUGGUUUGCUCACAAAAAGUUCAGAGGAGAGGAAAGCAUCCACACAAUGUAAUGAUAGUAACCCUAUGAAUACAAUAAGACCCCCAUUAUGUUGUAAGAGCAUUGUGUUUGCAUGCUGGCUGUACUCUCUCCCCUUCGACACCCUGUAACCUGUAUGUAGGCUCUGCAUGGUCUACAUCCGUUAUGCCAAUAUUAUGUAUUAGGGAUGUUGGGGGGAGAGAAGUUGCUCUUUAUUAUUCAGCUCCAUGAUUGACUUGCUUGUGCGUCAGCCAUUAUGUUUCUUCAAAUUGUAAGGCAGAAAUGGAUCCUAGGAAUGGAAAAUCACAGAUGGCCUUCUUCCUCUGGUAACUGCUCAUUUGGUGAGGCCUAGGUGUUGGUUUAUGGUCCCUCCAACAAACAUUCCAGAGAUGCACUGUCCCAAUUGUUGAUCUUCCCACCCCCUGCUGAGACUCUUAUCUCAAACCUAUGUGCCUGGUUCUCUCUCUGUGCUUUUCCAUGCCGGGGUGAAACUAGGGGCAGAGAAAUGAAUGUAAGAGUGCUUAAGUGAAAUACUGCAUUGUAAUAUGAUUUCUUUGUCAUGUUUGGGUUUAUUUGAAUGGUCUCAGUCUGAGUGAUAAAGUGGUCUCAGUCCUGCAGCUGCAUAGAUUAGUUUUAACAUGGAUCUCAAAGACAUGAGAAUUCCGGUCUCUGUAAGUCGUAAGGUAACCUCUCUCUGGAGGGGGCAAACACCCUCCUUGGGUGAGAACCCCCUCCAUUUGUCUCUGUUAAUGUGUGAUCCUAAGCACGAGAAACCACUGCUCAUGUGGGUAAUUAAUAAACCAGAUGCAGGACUAAAAUGGGUACUUAAGGGUAAGACAGUCAAAGAACUUGGAGCAUUCUGUCUUCAGAUCUCCCUCACAUCCGUGUGAGUAGUCACUUCUAAGCAGCAGGUAUGUUCAUGUUCUCUAAGUGUUUUUAUGUUUCAUGUGGUGUUUUAGACUUAUGUUCUUCACUUUAGACUUGUUAGAUUUGUAACCUGUAGUAGUCACUUGUACCUGACGUAAUAAAUUGGUAAUUCUGACCCACUAUGGCCUCUGCUGAAAUUCUUAACUGAUAAGUAUUCAGGUCAGGUGUUCCGGUAAUACCGACUAGGAUUUGGUUACAGACAUAUAUAGCGGCGACAAGCGUAAGACUUGAGGUUCCUGGCUAGAACCAACUGGACUAGACAUGCUGCAGAUAAACUGUUAAUGGUAUAAUAUAGGGAUAGGAUUGCUGACCAGCCUCUGCACUGGAUUGAAUGGACAUACAUAGAGCGGACGAGCAGUCUGGCGCUCUUUCACUGAGCCAACUAGAUCGAACAAGCUGCAAAGUCACUGUAACAGCCCUGUAGGACCUCUGGGCUAGUCCAGAAGUAGAUGCGGGUUAUGUCUGUGGAUUUGUCAAAAUGGAAUCGUCCAUUGAUCCUUCAAUGACACUAUUCCAGUGAAGAACACGGUUACUAAAGAGUAAGGGAGGAAAUUCAUACUACAGUUGGACAUCAGCCUACAUUCCCGGUAGAAAACUACAGCAAAAGUGAGGAGCUUAGACUGGGUUCUCAAAAGAGUGGAGUCAGACACAGAAAAUGGAGUCAGAUUAAGUGAGGUCGUACUAAGAAAGGUGUUUUAAUACAUUUUACUUUUUCAGCAAAGCAAAGAGAGAGACGAAUCCACCCAAACCUUCCCAGACGCCUAUUCCCUCAUUGGUCUAGGAAAUUGCUGUCUUACAAAAUCGAUUAAUAUCUUUGUGAAUGGCUAUUGUCUUUGCAAAAUAGGCCCUUGAUUUCACCAAUUAGUCAUUGCAUUUACAAUACAUUAUUGAAAAUGGAUUGGUAUAUUCUGUAGUCACCCCCACUGAGGCAGCGCACAGCAGGAAAGGGAAAGCUGGUGAAACAAAAGCCUGGUGAAGCAGCUGGAUUUCUUUCUGACCCCUACAACCUAUCCCUCACCAUUCUUAGCUGUAUGUGUUCAUUUCUUCCAUUUAAAAAAUCUGUUGAAAUAUUGGAAAAAACACCAUUUACCUUGUAUUUCAGACAAUAUUCAUCCAUUUUAUGAUGCAACAUGCAGUCUAUAUGUCUGCCAUAGGUCUCAUGGAAUUUCGACUUCGUCAAAUAACACCCUACCAAAUAACCUAUUUCAUGGAUUUGAUGGAUGUUUCCAGAGGGUGAUGCAGGCCUACCCAUCUGCCACUUUGUGGAUCCACCACUGGGACAGUGAUGAAAUAAUUACACUUUUCAAUGCAAGCCUUGCAAUCUCUGACUCAUGGUCAUUGCACUGCAGGUAGGCUGACGUGUCUCCACACACCCUGGUCCUCUGCGUUGUGUUUCUGAUGGGUGGGUGGGGUUGGUGUGGAGAGAAACAUGUCCCGGACACAGAGGUUCUGGGUUGUGGUUAAGACCUUGGUAACCCCUAAGUGGCAUAAUGACUCGUAUCUGCUGCUGUACAUCACAGUGGCAGCCGGCUCCAAUACCUUACGGGGAAGUGAAAGUAAACUUAAAAAACAAAAAAAAACACAUAUAUAUGUGUAUUAUUGUACAUUGAUAUAAACUACAGCAUCCUAAACAUGUGAUUUUCUGCAUGACAAUAAAUGACCAACUGAGAUCUCAAACUAAAGUUUCUUCCCACACUCUGUCCACUGUAUACAGAUAUGUAUACAUGUAUGUAUGUUCGAACAGUAAACCAACUAACCAGUAAACUAUCCAACUCAUUUUACUGACAAUACUGUAGCGUGUUGGGGGUGUAUGAGCGGACCGUCCCAACAUGCCUUGGGCGAUGGACUAUUGUUUGGCCCAGAUUGUUAUUGAGCGGUUGUCUGGUAGUGGUUUACGUGACCGUUAUCAUUUUGCAUUGUACUGAUUAACACCUAUGUUAGUUUCUUGUGUUGUGAUCUGUCCACCGUAAACAUGACUGUCAGCAUGAAUGAUGUCCUGGCUUCCUGCCGUUCCUACCAUUGUGUGUGAGUUCCUUCCUGUUGACUGUGGCUGUCACAAUAAAAGGCCUUUUGCCAAAAAAGAACCUGGCUCGCCACAUUGGUGUCAGAAGUGGGAUAAGUAGAUGACAAUGACACUACAGGAAAUUGAGGAACUCAUCACGUAUCUGCAGGGGGCACGGCGGAUAGCAAACAUUCAAGCAACAAACACUAAAAAGAAAAUAUUCAAACAGUCUUCAUUAGACUACCCUGAGGCCUUGUCCCCACUCGCCGCUUCCCAGAGGUUAGAACUCCAACGGAACCGGCAUCUUCUGCUCAACACAUCCAAUUGCCGAAGGAGUGCCGGAUCGCUGACACUGAGACCUGGAGAGACCUGGGACUGACUCUGACAGACAGAAGUGGCAGGGGGUAAUGAAGCCACCGUGCUACCAGAUACGUACCUCAUCCAAGAUGGCAGCCCAGAUAUACGUGUGGUCGGCGUAAGUGAACGCCGGAGUGGAGCGGAGUUUCUGUGCUAGUGUGUGUGUGAGUUCCUUCCUGUUGACUGUGGGUGUCAUAAUAAAAGUCCUGUUGCUAACCUGGCUCGCCACAAUAUUUCAGUACAAAACACAGGCGUUCACCACUCAAAACCACUCACAUGGAACUGUACUGAAAUAUCUUAAUAAACACAACAGAUGAACAGAUUAACAGGGUGGGUGGUUUUAGUUUUUAUGAUAAUGUAGGUCGCCAUUAACACUGCUUACCUUACAGAGUAGUGAAAGUAAACUUGAAAAAAAAAAGAAAAACAUGGCGUCAUAGGAACGAAUUUUAGGACUACGGUAUCGCAGAAGGGAAAAACAGAAUUGCGAGAAUUGCUGGUUUCUUUGGUGAAUAGACAGUGUGGUGUAUUCAAGAUACUGCCUUACAUGUACCCCUUCUAAUAGCAGUUAGAUAACAUAAUUUAAUUCAAUUAUAUUUACCAGUAUAAAUAAAAAUUGUCUCAAGGCUGAACUCCCUACAGCAAGCACUAAGGCAAUGGGGGCAAGGAAAAACUCCCUUUCAAGAGGAAGAAACUUUGAGCAGAACCUCAGCUCUAAGGGGGGGGGGGGACCCAUCUGCUUGGGGCUUGCUGGGUAGAAAGACAAAGAGAGAGGAGGGGGCAGAAGGGAGGAGAAGAGAGGAGGAGGAGAGAGAAUCGGAGGCAAGCAGAUAAAUUCAUACACACAUCAAGAUAAAACAUAUUAGCAUACAUGCGGCAUACAUAGUACAUACAACAUACAACAUUCCAUGACAGAUACAAGAUGGUAUACAUGAUACAUACAAAACAGACAGUGAAUAAAAAUGGAAAGAGCCAGCAUUCAAAGUAUUGGUUGUAGAACGGCUUAGUGGGAAUACAGUGUCCUCAUAAGGUUGCUAUUAUAAGGAUAAGCAGAGCAGUGAAGUAGAAAACUGCCAAUGAUGCCAUUUGUUUAUAUCACAGGUAAAUAGGCUGGCAUACAGAAUGCAAAUGUAUAAUAGGCAGAGUAGAAUUUGAGCAUGACAGGUGGUAGUGGGAAGCUGUUAGCAGAGGGUUUCUGCAAGGAGACUACAGCAGAGAUGAGUAGAGUAGGAGGGGAACAAAAGAGACAUAGUGGCAGGACAGAGCUAGAGUGCUAGCCUUAUACGCGUAUUAUGAAAUUAUAGGUUACCGUGAUGAGGAGCAAUGUAAUCACAGCCAUCUGAAUUUGCAAGCAAAGGUCUGCUACUACAUAUGGGGGAGAACAGAGACAGGUUAGUUAACAGAAUACAAAAAUGAUGCACUUCCAAUUAUCAAUUUCAUUAUACUAUGGCAUGCCACAGGCUAUCCAGGGUAAUAAGAAUAACAGUUUAAUGUAAUGUUAACACAUAAAGCUAAAUAGCUUGUUUAGGUUUGAUGAUUAGGCCUGCUUUGGUAUGAUUAUGUCUAUGGUUAAGACUAUGUUGUCUUGAAUAAUGUGAAGUUGUCAUAACAAAGACAUUGACCGGUUAUGUUGUCUUGGUUAAUAUUGUUGCCAAGUUGUCAUGACAAAGGCAAACUAAAAUGGCAUUAAAGUAUUUGAACACAUAGCUAACCUGCAGUUUGUCAAUGUUACAUUGAACGUUAAAAUCCAGCAUUUCAAUAAAAAGAAUUUGAAGCACCAUGUCAAGUAGGCUAGCACAUCCUAAUUCUAUGUUUAUAUUAUAUUACUGUAAAUUACAUGUUUGGUAUACGUCAUCGAACCCAACCCAAACUCGAACAUCCUUUCCGAGCCACAUUAAGCCUAUUGUGUAUGGACUAGCAUUUCUCAUUUGUGUUUCAAGGAAUUAAACAUUAAUUAGAAUUAGCUCAUUCACAUUUCCUUAAUGAAACUGUCU